UACGGAGGGUGCAACCGUUGCUCGGAAUCAUUGGGCGUAAAGCGAACGUAGGCGGCUAUGUAAGUCGGGUGUGAAAGCCCUCGGCUCAACCGAGGAAGUGCAUUCGAAACUGCAUGGCUUGAGUAUCGGAGAGGAUAGCGGAAUUCCCGGUGUAGAGGUGAAAUUCGUAGAUAUCGGGAGGAACACCAGUGGCGAAGGCGGCUAUCUGGACGAAUACUGACGCUGAAGUUCGAAAGCGUGGGGAGCAAACAGG
rnacentral:rRNA from 1 species